UAGUCCACGCCCUAAACGAUGGAUACUAGUCGUUGGGCUUCCUAAUAGGCUCGGUGACGUAGCUAACGCAUUAAGUAUCCCGCCUGGGGAGUACGGUCGCAAGAUUAAAACUCAAAGGAAUUGACGGGGCCCGCACAAGCGGUGGAGCAUGUGGUUUAAUUCGAUGCUACGCGAAAAACCUUACCUGGGCUUGACAUCCCGGGCUACCCUGUGAAAGCAGGGGUUCUCUUAGGAGACCCGGUGACAGGUGCUGCAUGGCUGUCGUCAGCUCGUGUUGUGAGAUGUUGGGUUAAGUCCCGCAACGAGCGCAACCCUCAUCGUUAGUUACCAGCAUUAAGUUGGGCACUCUAACGAGACCGCUCGGCUAUAAGCCAGAGGAAGGUGGGGAUGACGUCAAGUCCUCAUGGCCCUUAUGCCCAGGGGCUACACACGUGCUACAAUGGGGAAGAACAAAGCGCCGCUAGCUCGCGAGAGUCUGCUAAUCGCAAAAAUCUUUCCUCAGUUCGGGAUUGGGAGU
rnacentral:rRNA from 1 species